rnacentral:lncRNA from 1 species
CGUCCUCUCAGCUCUGGGAAGGGUGGGGUGGUCAUGAAGUCCUGAGAGAGCAGAGGGACACACCAACUUCUCUUGUUGGUUCCCUCAACCCUGCCCAUACCUAUGGGUAAUCAGAGAUGGAUUCAGUCUCCAGUUAGGAUCCUGAUCAAGGUAUUUGCAUGGGGGAUUCCAUGCAGAUGGUGUAUAGAGAGAAGAUAGACACAAGGGAUCUUCAUAGCCAAGGACUGGAUUUGAACAAGUCAGUCUCCAGCUAUGUUUUAGAGACUGAGGACUGUGCCCGUCAUCCCUUAGAGCUUCUCUCUGGGCCACUGGCUUGAAGCGCACAUCUCAGGGAAAAAGGAGCAGGUUGUUCUGGUGUUCAAGAAAAGAGCCCAAGUGACCCAAGAAACCAG